rnacentral:rRNA from 1 species
CCUACGGGGUGCAGCAGUGGGGAAUAUUGGGCAAUGGGCGCAAGCCUGACCCAGCAACGCCGCGUGAAGGAAGACGGCUUUCGGGUUGUAAACUUCUUUUCUGAGGGACGACGAAAGUGACGGUACCUCAGGAAUAAGCCACGGCUAACUACGUGCCAGCAGCCGCGGUAAUACGUAGGUGGCAAGCGUUAUCCGGAUUUAUUGGGUGUAAAGGGCGUGUAGGGGGGAAAGCAAGUCAGAUGUGAAAACCCAGGGCUCAACCCUGAGCCUGCAUUUGAAACUGUUUUUCUUGAGUGCUGGAGAGGCAAUCGGAAUUCCGGGUGUAGCGGUGAAAUGCGUAGAUAUACGGAGGAACACCAGUGGCGAAGGCGGAUUGCUGGACAGCAACUGACGCUGAGGCGCGAAAGCGUGGGGAGCAAACAGGAUUAGAUACCCCAGUAGUC